CCCGACUGCUAUUUGGGUGAGGAUAAGCCAUGCGAGUCGAAUGGGAUACCUAAAUUUCCCAUGGCGAACUGCUCAAUAACACAUGAUCAACUUACCCUAUAGAGAAAAAUAACCUCGGGAAACUGAGGAUAAUGUUUCAUAGUUGAAAAGGCUUGGAAAAGUUUUUCGACCAAAGGGAUAAGAAAAAUGGUUCUUGUUCGCUAUAGGAUAGGAUCGUGGACGAUUAUGGUUGUUGGUGAGGUAACGGCUCACCAAGCCGAUAAUCGAUAGGGGCCGUGAGAGUGGGAGCCCCGAGAUGGGUACUGAGACAACGACCCAGGCCUUACGAGGCGCAGCAGGCGCGGAACCUCCGCAAUACACGAAAGUGUGACGGGGUUACCCAAAGUGUUCAUUUUUGAACUGUGGUAGGUGAGUAAUGUUCCCUACUAGAAAGGAGAGGGCAAGGCUGGUGCCAGCCGCCGCGGUAAAACCAGCUCUUCAAGUGGUCGGGAUAAUAUUGGGCUUAAAGUGUCCGUAGCUGGUUUAGUAAGUUCCUGGUAAAAUCGGGUAGCUUAACUAUCCGUAUGCUAGGAAUACUGCUAUACUAGAGGGCGGGAGAGGUCUGAGGUACUACAGGGGUAGGGGUGAAAUCUUAUAAUCCUUGUAGGACCACCAGUGGCGAAGGCGUCAGACUGGAACGCGCCUGACAGUGAGGGACGAAAGCCAGGGGAGCGAACCGGAUUAGAUACCCGGGUAGUCCUGGCCGUAAACGAUGCAUACUAGGUGAUGGUACGGCCAUGAGCCGUAUCAGUGCCGUAGGGAAACCGUUAAGUGUGCCGCCUGGGAAGUACGGUCGCAAGGCUAAAACUUAAAGGAAUUGGCGGGGGAGCACCACAAGGGGUGAAGCCUGCGGUUCA
rnacentral:rRNA from 1 species